CCAGAUUCACCAACAUCCCUUGAGAAGCCUUCCUGAGCAAAGUGUUUGGCCCUUACAUGUUCAUAAUCACUGCUACCAUCACUGCUGGAAUCACGGAAAUCUUCAUCACUGUCGUCCAUCAUAUGUCUGCUUCAAAAGGUUGAUGCACACAUAGGUGUGCACGUAAAUAUGGGAAGAGAACUCCAUAGGGCAAGGUGAAGCGGCCGCCCGACUUCGAAUUGAUGCAAAAGAAUAGCUACAGGUAUGUAGAGGUAGAGUCAUUGACUCAUUGAGUCGUCAUUCUCACUGGGACGAUAAAAGAAGAAUGUGGUCGGGCCAGGUCGCCUGGUGCAGGUUGACCUUAUGAUUUGGGUUGUGAGCCCAUGAACUUCUGCUGCUACCACUGAUUAGCAAGUACCGAAGCAGACAAAGCUUGUCAGCCGAGCGAACACACGCACUAUGAAGCAGUAUGGAUGAACCCUAGCGGCUGCAGCACACAGGCGGCGGCUGAAGCGCAACGUCAACACCAGCAUGGGGUACACAGAAGUCGCAGUGCACAGCAGUGUCGUUUGGCCAGCGGUGGGUGGCACGGAGGCGUUGCCGGUGAAGGUGAAAGGUAGAAGAUCAAAUGGACAUGAAUGAUAAGGGGCUAGCAAAGGCAAAGGGAAAGGUAUAAUUGAUUGAAAUUCUACAUUGUACAUUGGUACAUUGCGAAUUUGUGAUGUGCAUUUUGGGAUUCAAACAAUAUUGAGUGAUUUUAAUACUAUUUUCAUGUUAUGAAUUGCAGAUAUGACUAAACAUUUUGAGUUAAUUAGUAGUUGCAGUAGGUUUACAGA